UCCCGAGUAGCUAGGACUACAGGUGCAUGUCACUAUCUCCAGCUAAUUUAUUUCAUUUUUUGUAGGGAUUAGGGUCUCUUCGGUGACCAGGCUGGUCUCAAACUCCUGGUCUCAAGCAAUCCUUCUGCCUUCGCCCCCCUAAAGUUCUGGGAUUAAAGGCAUGAGCUACCCCUCCCAGCCCUCUUUCUCUUUUUAUAAGGACACCAGUCCUAUUGGAUUUGGCCCCACUC
rnacentral:lncRNA from 1 species